UUGAUCCUGGCUCAGAACGAACGCUGACGGCGCGUCUUAAGCAUGCAAGUCGAACGAGAAAGUAUCUUCGGGGUACGAGUAAAGUGGCGAACGGGUGAGUAACACGUGGGUAAUCUGCCCUGAAGUUGGGGACAACUCGCUGAAAAGCGAGCUAAUACCGAAUGAGAUAGUCUUUACAUAUGUGAGGAUUAUGAAAGGUUUCGGCCGCUUCAGGAUGAGCCUGCGGUCUAUUAGCUAGUUGGUGAGGUAAAUGCUCACCAAGGCUACGAUAGAUAGCCGGCCUGAGAGGGUGUACGGUCACAUUGGAACUGAGACACGGUCCAGACUCCUACGGGAGGCAGCAGCUAAGAAUAUUCCGCAAUGGGCGAAAGCCUGACGGAGCGACGCCGUGUGGUUGAUGAAGGCCUUACAGGUUGUAAAAACCUUUUAUUCGAGAAGAUGGGCAAGCCUCGAGCUUGCUUGACGGUAUCGAACGAAUAAGCCCCGGCAAAUUACGUGCCAGCAGCCGCGGUAAUACGUAAGGGGCUAGCGUUGUUCGGAAUUAUUGGGCGUAAAGGGCGUGCAGGCGGACUAAUAAGUCGGGUGUGAAAUCUUAUGGCUUAACCAUGAGCUAUUGCUCGAAACUGUUAGUCUAGAGUUUGGAAUAGGGAGACGGAAUUCCUAGUGUAGGAGUGAAAUCUAUAGAUAUUAGGAAGAACACCGGUGGCGAAGGCGGUCUCCUGGUCUAACACUGACGCUACAGCGCGAAAGCUAGGGUAGCAAACGGGAUUAGAUACCCCGGUA
rnacentral:rRNA from 1 species